UCAAUCACUUUGGAGAAAGAGUGCAGCUGA
rnacentral:piRNA from 1 species